rnacentral:antisense_RNA from 1 species
AUUACAAUGGUAUUAGAGCUUCUAAGCUCACUGUUUAAGUAGAAUGUUUCACUCUUUAGAGAGCCAUGAAAACAUUCUAUUGGGGCAUUAUCAGC